UUCUCUUUUUCUUUUUUUCUUUUUCUCAAUAACUAGUAAUUUAGAAAACAAUACAAUGCAUUGCCUAACUAAUUGCAGUUACCUGGGUAAACUUCAUAUUUUGCUUCCUUCUAUCAAAAGUUUGAAUGAAAGAAACAUCACCAUCCAGUCCUGUAACUAUCAAGUCUAAGUUGAUUAUGUUAUAAUAAAACAGUGCUUACUAAUUAAUAAAAUUGACUAAAACGCGUAUCUUGGCUUUUUCUUGGUUCUUUUCCAUAAUUAUCAUAUUUAAAAUGCAAGAUUCUCUUCAUUUUUCUUGUCAAAGGUUUCCUUGAUGUUAUCAAUUUCUCCAAGAUGUAUUCUUUAUAAAAGUAGGUUCUUUAAUUGUUUGACUCCAACUGACUCUGGGGUUAAAGGGUAAACAAACUUUUUCUUUUUCUUUUUCUUUUUGAGAGAAUUGGAUUGUGUUUACAUCCCCCUUCUUGGGAUGAUCCUUUGAUUUAGGACCCUUUUAUGGUUUAUAUUGUAAUAGAAUAUGGGCUGGAUAUACCAUUGAGAAUUUAUCUGCAGUUGGAUUCGAUGCUUCUAGUUGUAAUUGAAAUGUAUUUUGUGUUCCAUCCUUUCCUAUAUUGCUUUUACCCGCUAGGUAUUCUUGCAACAGUUUGGUAUUUUGUUACUUUUUAUGCGUAUAUUCCAGUGACGGAGCAAGAUGAAGUCCCAUGUCUAAA
rnacentral:misc_RNA from 1 species